UACGAAGGGGGCUAGCGUUGCUCGGAAUGACUGGGCGUAAAGGGCGCGUAGGCGGCUCAUACAGUCAGAUGUGAAAUUCCUGGGCUUAACCUGGGAAUUGCAUUUGUGACUGCACGGCUAGAGUGUGUCAGAGGGGGGUAGAAUUCCACGUGUAGCAGUGAAAUGCGUAGAGAUGCGGAGGAACACCGAUGGCGAAGGCAGCCCCCUGGCUGACACUGACGCUCAGGCGACGAAAGCGUGGGGAGCAAACAGG
rnacentral:rRNA from 1 species